GAUGCCGGACCGGCAGGCACCUCGGACGCAGCUGCUCUCCUGCGCCUGUGACACUGAGGCAAAGAGGAAGUGGCUAUUUCUAUACUCAGCGCUCAGAACAGUGAGCACUAAGAAUGGUCUGUAGCCGAACAUGC